GAUGAACGCUGGCGGCGUGCCUAAUACAUGCAAGUCGAGCGAACAGAUGAGGAGCUUGCUCCUCUGACGUUAGCGGCGGACGGGUGAGUAACACGUGGAUACCUACCUAUAAGACUGGGAUAACUUCGGGAAACCGGAGCUAAUACCGGAUAAUAUAUUGAACCGCAUGGUUCAAUAGUGAAAGACGGUUUUGCUGUCACUUAUAGAUGGAUCCGCGCCGCAUUAGCUAGUUGGUAAGGUAACGGCUUACCAAGGCAACGAUGCGUAGCCGACCUGAGAGGGUGAUCGGCCACACUGGAACUGAGACACGGUCCAGACUCCUACGGGAGGCAGCAGUAGGGAAUCUUCCGCAAUGGGCGAAAGCCUGACGGAGCAACGCCGCGUGAGUGAUGAAGGUCUUCGGAUCGUAAAACUCUGUUAUUAGGGAAGAACAAAUGUGUAAGUAACUAUGCACGUCUUGACGGUACCUAAUCAGAAAGCCACGGCUAACUACGUG
rnacentral:rRNA from 1 species